CCUGCUAGCUUAGAAGAAUGUCAUGUAAGUGGCACAUGGAUCACUGCAGUCACAGAGGGAGAAGGUCAAGAUCCCAAGAAGUCUCCAGCAGCUGGAAUUCCCCAGGCACCUCUGACUUGGCAUCUCUACCGUGUCUCAGGGUCCUCACACAACUUCCCUACUGCCACUCAGCAAAGUCCAGGAUACAGAGCAUACCUGCAUACAAGAAAACAACUACUUGUCUGAGUACAGUGGAUGAAAUGUGCACUGUGAGCCGCUGCAUGCAUGGAUACCACGCAGGAGAAAACAGCAACUACCUGUGAAGUAGACCCAUGGCUUACUUCUGUAAAAUGUCCAUUAUGGGUGGUUUGAUCUGUUUGCGUUGCUAUAAUAAAC
rnacentral:lncRNA from 1 species